rnacentral:rRNA from 1 species
ACAAGCAGCGAGGUAUGUGGUUUAAUUCGACGCUACGCGAAGAACCUUACCUGGGCUUUGACAUGCUUGAGAAGGACAAGAAACUGGUCCCCCCAUGACCGCAAGGUCAUGGCUCAUCCACAGGUGCUGCAUGGUUGUCGUCAGCUCGUGUCGUGAGAUGUAAGGUUAAGUCCUUGAACGAGCGCAACCCCUUUCGUCAGUUGCAAACCAGCAAUGGCGCACCCUGACGAUACUGCCAGCUAAAAGUUGGAGGAAGGAGGGGAUGACGUCAAAUCCUCAUGGCCUUUAUGUCCAGGGCUACACACAUGCGACAAUGGUCGGUACAACGGGUUGCAACACCGCGAGGCGAAGCCAAUCCCUAAAAACCGACCUCAGUUCAGAUUGCAGACUGCAAUUCGUCUACAUGAAGAUGGAGUUGCUAGUAACCGCGGGUCAGCUACACCGCGGUGAAUAUGUUCCCGGGCCUU